GGAAGAUUUUAGUCUCAGUGAAAUAAAGCCAUAGCAUCUGUAAUAAAUAUAAACAAAGAAGCUGUUUUGUUCUGAAACUAGAGGGCAAACUCUAGGUCAAUAGCUUCUCCCAGAAAGGAAAAACCAAAGGCUGUAGUCCUUCUAGACAGAGUUCUACAGUGUGGGUUAUUCUGUGACCAGUGUGUAAAUCUGUACAGUCAGCUGUUUACAAAGCACAUCAUUUAUAACAAAAAGGAAUACGUUCAAGUGGCCGAUGUCGAAGGCGACGGAAGAAUUUCUAUUUACUUGUGAUGGUCAUCACUGCUGGGACAGGAGGAAUACUGAUUGCCGGAGGGUUAUUAGUAACUAAGGGGUUAUCUUUGGCCUGACCAGACACAACAGGGGGAUUUGCAUCUUUCCCCGUGAAUUUUGCAAUAGCUUCCGCAGCUCCAAUCUGGGAGGGACGAUAGCCGGACUCCCAGAGCCAUCAAAAAUGCUAAUCUACUACGGGUCAGGGACAAAUUUUGGGACAGGCGGUACAUAUUUCCCCUUAUUAUUAAAGAAAAGAUAAUUAAUCCAUGUAGUACUGAUAGGAGGCGCAUAUUAACUU